rnacentral:rRNA from 1 species
AUUGAACGCUGGCGGAAUGCUUUACACAUGCAAGUCGAACGGCAGCACGGACUUCUGUCUGGUGGCGAGUGGCGAACGGGUGAGUAAUGUAUCGGAACGUGCCCAGUCGUGGGGGAUAACGUAGUGAAAAUUACGCUAAUACCGCAUACGAUCUAUGAAUGAAAGCGGGGGAUCGCAAGACCUCGCGCGAUUGUAGCGGCCGAUAUCAGAUUAGGUAGUUGGUGGGGUAAAGGCCCACCAAGGCAACGAUCUGUAGCUGGUCUGAGAGGACGACCAGCCACACUGGAACUGAGAAACGGUCCAGACUCCUACGGGAGGCAGCAGUGGGGAAUUUUGGACAAUGGGCGAAAGCCUGAUCCAGCCAUUCCGCGUGCAGGAUGAAGGACCUAGGGUUGUAAACUGCUUUUGUACAGAACGAAAAGGUUUCUACUAAUACUAGGAGCUAAUGACGGUACUGUAAGAAUAAGCACCGGCUAACUACGUGCCAGCCGCCGCCGUAA